GGUGACGUCGCGAAGGGAGGCUGCGGGAGCGCGCGAGGUAGGGAGGCGGGCAGACAACGGAGACGAGAGGGGGUAGCACUUGCAUCCAUGCCCAGGAGGAGGAGGUGGCGGCCAGCAUAUGCCCGGUGAGAGGAAUCCCACGCCCCCAGACCCCGACCAGCAAGUCAUGACUGAACCAGGACGGGCUCGCAUAUUACUGGACUGGAGAGUGGACUUUGGAUGUAGGCACCACAGCUGAGGACUGGAUUGGACAUGUUCAACAGACAUUACAGAUGAGAAAGAACUUUGUCAAUGAUCUCCAGGAAAGAAAGACUGGAACAUUGGAAUUA